GCUGUAUCUAGGUUAUUUUAUCACAUGUCUAUAUACAUUAUGCAUGUGUGUACAUGCAGAGCCCCCCUCAGGAGGCUGAGAGGCGGCCCAGACUGAUCAUGAAGACAAAGAUUCAACAAGUACAACGGACUACGACCUCUAUAGAGGCACCGCUAGAGGGGGAGAGGCAGCGAGGGGCAGAGAUGGAGGCAGUACACAGGAGCAGUAUGGAGGAGGCUACUAGACUUACUCACAAGUACGAGUAUGCUGCCAGAGUGUUGAGGAGCGUGUGUCGAGUGUGAGCUCAGAAAGAGAUCGGUUACAAGAGUGUCUAGGAACCACCAGGGAGGAGCUGGUCGUAUCCAAGGAGAUGGUUGCCCAACAACAGACAGAACACCAGCUAGCACUGGAGGACCACACUAGGAAGUAUCUGGCCCUCGAGGAAAAAGCUGCUCUCCAGUGUCAGACUCAUAAGGACAGUGAGUGUGUGUUGCGUGACCAGCUGCUGUCCACACAGGAGGCACACACACGACUGCGAGUGCAUGCACUGUACAGUCACA